rnacentral:rRNA from 1 species
UACGGGGGGUGCAAGCGUUGUUCGGAAUUACUGGGCGUAAAGGGCUCGUAGGCGGCCAUCUAAGUCGGCCGUGAAAUCCCCAGGCUUAACCUGGGAACUGCAUCCGAUACUGGAUGGCUUGAAUCCGGGAGAGGGAUGCGGAAUUCCAGGUGUAGCGGUGAAAUGCGUAGAUAUCUGGAGGAACACCGGUGGCGAAGGCGGCAUCCUGGACCAAUAUUGACGCUGAGGAGCGAAAGCUAGGGGAGCAAACGGG